CAUUUGUGCACAGUUCAAGAUUGGUGGAUAUAUGAGAUCCCACUUGCCCUAAAGGAGUAGAAAACGCUCAUCGAACAGACAUCGAGUUCCGGUCGAUAGCGCCGCCGCCGAAUAGCGAUAUCUUUUCUGGAGAGGCACCAACCAAACGGAUCCAACUUGGAGGACGCCACGCAUCACCAGAUAGUGUCUCUUCCCGCAUUGACGGCAUGGUUUCUUGGAGCGAUGAAUCGACUGACAGCAUACGCAGCCUGCCAAUGGAUUUCUCUGACAUGUGCCCAGAAUGGGGUUAUGACUCGGAUUUCUUUGGUGAGCACGACGACAAGAGCAUACUUUGCUCCGGCCACGGAAUGCCCGUUCAGCGCCGAGUUGCAUGCAACGGGGCCAACACAGGAAGGAGAUAUCUCGGGUGUUCACAGCUGUUGAGCUUAUUGGUUUUAAUUAUUUGUCAUUGCUCGUAAAAUUUACAGCGCUGAUUCGAUGCGCUUAACCCCCCAAGUCCGUGUUUUCUUGAACAGUGUGACUGUGCUUUUGUUCAUUGGGUUGACCCGGAGUGGCCAUAGCCUUUGAAGAAAAGGUUGGUUAAAUUGGUGAAUAACUCAAAGGCGGUAGAUUGCAAGCGAGAAAUGGAUAAGGCUCAGCAAUAUUACGCCGACAUGAUGCUGGCAGAAGAAGAUAAGAAGGUCGCAAUCGUUGAGAAGAAGAAAGCAGAAUUAGCAGCCGCUCGAGCAGAGGAAGACAGAAUGAGCAACUUAAGAUGAAGCUUGAGCUUGAUAUGACAGACUAUGUGAGUGAAGCAACCAUGAAAGGAGAAGAGUUGAAGCUACGGAUUAAGCGUUUGAGGAACGCUCUCGUACUGAAAGAAAAACUCAUGUUUGCAUGGGCACUUGUUGCGACGUUACUUGCAUUCUGUGUAGGUUUUUUAGGAGCAUUUUUCUUCAAGGAUUAGAACUGUAUGGAUCAUGGUGUUGUACGACAUAUUGCAUGGAUUAAAACCAUCACAUUAGUAUCCUUUGUCA